rnacentral:rRNA from 1 species
GUGGGGAAUAUUGGACAAUGGGCGCAAGCCUGAUCCAGCAAUGCCGCGUGGGUGAAGAAGGUCUUCGGAUCGUAAAGCCCUUUCGACAGGGACGAUGAUGACGGUACCUGUAGAAGAAGCCCCGGCUAACUUCGUGCCAGCAGCCGCGGUAAUACGAAGGGGGCUAGCGUUACUCGGAAUUACUGGGCGUAAAGGGCGCGUAGGCGGCUCUGUUAGUCAGGCGUGAAAUUCCUGGGCUUAACCUAGGGACUGCGCUUGAUACUGCAGGGCUUGAGGCCGAGAGAGGGUGGUGGAAUUCCCAGUGUAGAGGUGAAAUUCGUAGAUAUUGGGAAGAACACCGGUGGCGAAGGCGACCACCUGGCUCGGUUCUGACGCUGAGGCGCGACAGCGUGGGGAGCAAACAGGAUUAGAAACCCCUGUAGUCC